UGGGGAAUAUUGCACAAUGGAGGGAACUCUGAUGCAGCGACGCCGCGUGAGUGAUGAAGGAAUUCGUUUCGUAAAACUCUGUUCUAUGGGAAGAAAAGGACUGUACCAUAGGAGAAAGCCCCGGCUAACUACGUGCCAGCAGCCGCGGUAAUACGUAGGGGGCUAGCGUUGUCCGGAAUCACUGGGCGUAAAGGGUUCGCAGGCGGAAAUGCAAGUCAGGUGUAAAAGGCAGUAGCUUAACUACUGUAAGCAUUUGAAACUGCAUAUCUUGAUAAGAGUAGAGGUAAGUGGAAUUUUUCGUGUAGCGGUGAAAUGCGUAGAUAUUAAAAAGAAUACCGGUUGCGAAGGCGACUUACUGUGCUCAUUCUGACUCUGAGGAACGAAAGCGUGGGUAGCAAACAGG
rnacentral:rRNA from 1 species